AAUCAACGCUGGCGGCGUGCCUAACACAUGCAAGUCGCACGAGAAAGGGGAGCAAUCCCUGAGUAAAGUGGCGCACGGGUGAGUAACACGUGAAUUAUCUACCUCCGAGUGGGGAAUAACUGAGAGAAAUCUUAGCUAAUACCGCAUAACACUUACGAGUCAAAGCAGCAAUGCGCUUGGAGAGGAGUUCGCGGCCGAUUAGUUAGUUGGCGGGGUAAUGGCCCACCC
rnacentral:rRNA from 1 species